UGGUUUUGCAGUUAUUUAAUC
rnacentral:piRNA from 1 species